AUGAUUUCACAGACUCUCUUGAUCUGGCUCCUUGUGUUCUGCAUUCAGGAUGCCAAAGGACAGCUUGUGGUGACUCAGACUCCAGAAUCCCUGGCAGUGUCUCCUGGAGACACAGUCACUAUCCGCUGCAAAGCCAGUUCCAGUGUUGGCAGCUACAUGGCCUGGUACCAACAGAAAUCAGGACAAGCUCCAAAGCUCCUCAUUCACAGCGCCUCCACCCGUCCCUCUGGAAUCCCAGACCGGUUCACAGGCAGUGGGUCAGGCACUGACUUCACAUUUACCAUCAGCCGAGUAGAAGCUGAUGAUUCUGGAGAUUAUUACUGUCAAGCUACUGGCACACAGUGA